GAGCAGGUGAUGAAUUUUUCUGCGAAUGCAGUGAGGUCAUCGAUGAUGCAACAAAAUAUCGAGCUUUUUAAAACUGAUGCUAU